rnacentral:rRNA from 1 species
GCGGUGAAUACGUUCCCGGGUCUUGUACACACCGCCCGUCACACCAUGGGAGCGGGUUCUGCCAGAAGUAGUUAGCCUAACCGCGAGGGGGGCGAUUACCACGGCAGGGUUCGUGACUGGGGUGAAGUCGUAACAAGGUAGCCGUAUCGGAAGGUGCGGCUGGAUCACCUCCUUUCUG